GUUUCACGUCCUCAUAGUGUAAGACCAGAACUUGGGUGUAAGACGCUGAGUGCCAGUGUUGCUGAAGUCAAGAAGGAAACUGGAGCCGUUUUCCUUGUGUCUUCAGCCUUCUGUGUGCCAGUCUCCAGGGAGGAGCAAACUGCUUUGGUGUGAGCUGUUAAAGUAUUUACUGAGGCCUUACUGUGGAAGCUGAGUGCGGAGGAUCCAGAUUAUGGGUAUGCAAAAGCAGGCUUGGAGAAGAGGAUCGGCAGCUGCACGCAGAGGAGAUCUAGCGUGGCCGGGUGGUGGAUGGACAAACAUGUAAGCAUUGCCCAAAAUGUACAACAGGGAAAAUAUACAGAGCUGUGUUAAACGAUUUGCAAACCUCAUUUAAGACUAUCUCAGAAACAAUAAAGGUCUGCUUCCCUGCUGUUUGUAGCUGGCUCCUUGCCGCUUGCACAUGCACUCCUUUGGGUGCCUGUGGGUGGACUCACAGAAGAGCUCCCCACUGUAGGAAUAAUGGGACAUAUCUGUUCCCCUCAGAAAUGCUGUGAAAUUGAAAAGAAUCCACUGAUACUUAGGAAUCUGGUCCCUCCAUCAGAAACGGCCAUAUUGUCCAUUGCGUCCAGGUUAUUGCAAGAACCAUGGUAACGCAAACAUGUCUUCCAGGGAAACCAAAUUAAAAAAAUAACUUGACAGACAAAUAAUCAGAGGAGGUUGCAGAUGGAACCAAAAAGGACAGGCAAGGAUGGACAAAAAAAAUCCACAGUUAUCAAAAGAGAAAUUAUGCCAAAGCCUGGGACAGCCCAUUUGCUCCACUUGCAGCAUCUCAACGUGAUUACAUCUCCUCUGUUUGUCAGCACAAGGGCAUGAACUAUGUGAGGUUUAACAUGAAGGCACUGGUGUUUGCUAUGUGAAACGGCUGAUGAAAUACCCGGCAUUAGGAAAAGCUUGUUUUAUUCACUAUGGUUUGCAGAGAAUCCCAAGUGAGCAGUUCAGGCUGUGGCAGCUAUUUGCUCCAUGCAGUUUUUGCAUGGUAGCAACAGCUGUUUCCAACAGCUAUUUUACCAGGGCUGUAUGUGGCUAAAAACCAUUAUUCGCUCGACAAAAGCAAUGCCAGCUAUGGUUUCCAAAAUCUCAAGUUUAGCUAAAGCUAAAUUUCAUUACCAUAAAUGAUGCAGCUGAGUAUUUUUUUUUCAACCUGUGUGAUUCAGAUAGGCUGAAGGUUGCUACCGUGGACCUGGUUAGUUUGGAAAGUUCACACUAGAAUAUAGAGCUUUUCAAUCCUGGGUUGCCACUCUUGUUCCAUAAUGACAGAAAGAAUUAGCUUUGGAUGGCCAGUGUGCUAACAGUGCAGGCUGAGGCAUUGCAGCAGAUGCUACAGGAAGAUUAAUGAGCCAGUGUUCAUGCCACAUAAACUUUCUUUAGUUUCCAGUGUUCACCAGUGGGCACCUUCAGUAGCAAACUGCAAUGCUCUUGCCUUCUUUGGAGCUUUUGGGCAUGGAGAGAAAUCAUAUGUCGUGGACCCGAAACUGAUUGAGAAGCAUUAUAUAGACCCCUAAUGAUCUCUGUGUCUUGGAAAUGGAGUUUCAGCGUUUGCAGCAUAAGGAACAUUUUACAUGAAAAUAAAUUUCAGGAGAAAGAACCAUGGUGAGAUUUUAGUAUACUGUGAGCCUGUGAUUGUUGAUGUAGAGUGGAGAGCAGGCAAGUUUCCUGUUUAGUUCAAUAUGAAGCCUGCGUGAAGAUUAUACCAUCUCUGUGAGAGGCUCUGCAUUUUUAGAAUUUGGCAUGCAGCAUUGGAGAUAGGAGAACUGUUAAAUGACAGCCACAGUAACAUGUUCUGUUCAUAGCAGUCAGGCAUCCACAAACUGAAUUGAUUUCUAUUAAGCAGCCGUAAAAGAGCAUUGGAUUCAAUUGAAUGAAGUAAACGUGCUGUAACCUCUCUGAAGUUACUGCAUUUUCCUGCAGAAGUACCUGAGGGAAGUGAAAAUGUAUGUAGGUUGCUCUGAAAGUAAUGCCUCCUAUUUACUUCUACGGUAACUAUAAUGGCUAUAAACAGCGCAGUAACACUAUAUGGUAGAGCAAAUUCUCAGCUAAAAAAAUGCUAUUUUUCAACAUAAUCACCAACUUUAGUCAUGUAUUUUUGUCAGUGUUGAACAGGAGCCUACAUACCGUGCUUGUGAAAAUCUGCACCAGCAGAGCUGA